rnacentral:rRNA from 1 species
AGAGCGAACGCUGGCGGCAGGCUUAACACAUGCAAGUCGAGCGGGCGUAGCAAUACGUCAGCGGCAGACGGGUGAGUAACGCGUGGGAACAUACCUUUUGGUUCGGAACAACACAGGGAAACUUGUGCUAAUACCGGAUAAGCCCUUACGGGGAAAGAUUUAUCGCCGAAAGAUUGGCCCGCGUCUGAUUAGCUAGUUGGUGAGGUAACGGCUCACCAAGGCGACGAUCAGUAGCUGGUCUGAGAGGAUGAUCAGCCACAUUGGGACUGAGACACGGCCCAAACUCCUACGGGAGGCAGCAGUGGGGAAUAUUGGACAAUGGGCGAAAGCCUGAUCCAGCCAUGCCGCGUGAGUGAUGAAGGCCCUAGGGUUGUAAAGCUCUUUUGUGCGGGAAGAUAAUGACGGUACCGCAAGAAUAAGCCCCGGCUAACUUCGCGCCAGCAGCCGC